CACCUGCCUUGGCCCCAUCCCUGCACAGGAGGCCUAAUUUCCUCCCCAGGACAGCCCCUUUCUGCCUUGGACCCCUCAAAAUAUCCAAUUCCCCACGGUUCAGAAGGGCCUAGAGAACUUGCAGGACAGACAUCUUACUGUUGAAGAGAGGCAGAGGUUCCGAUUCCCAGUCUGAGGGCUGCGAUUCACCUAGGGCCACGCAUCAGUAACAAGCAGAGGUAGAGGGACACGUGUAUCCAGGAGUUUUGCAGCUUCUUUUCAGCAGGCAGCAACUGCCAUUACCAUACAAAGCCUCUAGGGGGUGCAAUUUGCCUUACAGUCCUUGGUGAGACAAGUUAUGAAUUUCAUGAGCUUUGGUACAACGGUGAAGAAAAUAAAAAUGCUAUUUUGAGAGCAUGCUGUUGUUUGAAAUCAUGAAAAAGAUGCAGGCAAUAAACUAACGAGGACUCAUGGACUACUAUGCAACCAUUUAAAAGAAUGAAGUCAUUCUCUGUAGGGGCUCUGAGACACCAUCCAGGAGGAGGGAGCAGGCUCACGAAGCACAAAACGAAGCUACAAGAACUUGGAUUGAUUGCCUCUGGAGAGAGUAUACAACUCACGUGCAUUUAAAAUACUUUUAUUGUUGUAUUAAACAAUAAUAAACAAAA